rnacentral:rRNA from 1 species
CCAGCAGCUGCGGUAAUUCCAGCUCCAAUAGCGUAUAUUAAAGUUGUUGCAGUUAAAACGCUCGUAGUCUGGUGUGGAGUGUGUGGGGGUGUAGGUCGAUAGAUUUGCAUACUCGCACACUCGUUCUGACAGAUAUGUCGGGGUUACUUUGAGGAAAUUAGGGUGUUCAAGGCAGGCGUGUGCUUGGAUAUCGCAGCAUGGAAUAAUGGAAUAGGACUCGCGUCUUAUUUUGUUGGUUUGGAGAUGUGAGUAAUGAUGAAUAGGGACAGUUGGGGGCAUUGGUAUUCAGUAGUCAGAGGUGAAAUUCUUGGAUUUACUGAAGACUAACUAGUGCGAAAGCAUUUUCCAAGGAUGUUUUCA